rnacentral:tRNA from 1 species
GGGCUUGUAGCUCAGUUGGUUAGAGCGCGCGCUUGAUAAGCGUGAGGUCGGAAGUUCAAGUUUUCCCAGGCCCACCA